rnacentral:rRNA from 1 species
AGGGAAUCUUCGGCAAUGGGGGCAACCCUGACCGAGCAACGCCGCGUGAGUGAAGAAGGUUUUCGGAUCGUAAAGCUCUGUUGUAAGUCAAGAACGAGUGUGAGAGUGGAAAGUUCACACUGUGACGGUAGCUUACCAGAAAGGGACGGCUAACUACGUGCCAGCAGCCGCGGUAAUACGUAGGUCCCGAGCGUUGUCCGGAUUUAUUGGGCGUAAAGCGAGCGCAGGCGGUUUGAUAAGUCUGAAGUUAAAGGCUGUGGCUCAACCAUAGUUCGCUUUGGAAACUGUCAAACUUGAGUGCAGAAGGGGAGAGUGGAAUUCCAUGUGUAGCGGUGAAAUGCGUAGAUAUUAGGAGGAACACCAGUGGCGAAAGCGGCUUUCUGGACGAAAACUGACGCUGAGGCGCGAAAGCCAGGGGAGCGAACGGGAUUAGAUACCCCGGUAGUCCUGGCCGUAAACGAUGGGUACUAGGUGUAGGAGGUAUCGACCCCUUCUGUGCCGGAGUUAACGCAAUAAGUACCCCGCCUGGGGAGUACGGCCGCAAGGUUG